CCAGAGAACAACAGUCAUUACAAGAAGUUCCCCUCGGUUUACCUUCUCCAUUUCAACAAGAAGCAGUUUACUCAGUUUACCUAUCUAUUUCAAUAAGUAACAGGUUACCUUCAGUUUACAGUCUCCAUUUCAACAAGUAGUAGUUCUCCGUUUAUUAUUCUGUUUCACAUUGGAUUCCAUUCUUAAAGGUGGGAAAGCCUAGGGAUACAGGGUCGGGCAAUUGGCAUUUGGGGGCAUUCCCCAAUGCCUUCAUCGCAUUGACAUUUGAGCCAGAAAGGCAGGCAGUCUGCCUUUGGCAACAACUAACAAUCAAAACACUACCCCAUUUCCCAAAGUCUUAAGUCUUUCACAUCUGAUGGGUCUGAUAUGAUGCCUUCAGCCUCCUCUAUCGAAGCAGACUUCUGUCUUCCUGCAGACUCCUUUUGUACCAGACGGCUUCUUUGCUGCUGCAAGAACAAGAGAAAUCCAUAAACACAUUCUUUAACAGGACUUUAUCAACUCCAUACAAUGCUUACUCACUACAAAGAUUAUCCUGAGUUACUAACCUUAAAUCUGCAAACCCAUCGUAUUAAUUUUAGUAAUGUCUUUUCCUCCAUUAUAAAAUCAUGUCAUUUACAUGCUUAAUCAGAAAGAUUGCCUUACUUUAGCAAAAAUAAUAUAAAAACCCUACAAACUAUAGAAGUAUAAAAGCAGAAACAAAAUCCAGAUCACAGGUUAUUCAAGACUCUGUAAAUCUACCUCGUUUGUGCCCCACCCCCCAAAAAAGAUUGUCUAGUACCGAGUAAACAUUUUAUCACCCAAAAAAACCCCAAAACCACAUUAAAAAUGACUACAUGGCAAUUUGAGCUUUAAAACUAUUUUAAAAGUCAAAUUUAAGUUGCAAUAUUGGAAUGAACUCCAAAAAUUCUCAAGAUUAAAAUGCUUCUAAUUUUCCUUAAUUUCAAAACCUCUCACAUCUUUGGGGAGAGGGAGAUGCUUGGGCUUUUGAAAUUGUUUUCAUUCACCUUUAAUUACUUAACUAUAACCAUGCUUAAAUAGCUUAGGAUUUUUACUUCUAUUAACUAGUAUGAAAAAAAAAAGUUGCAACUGAGUCAGCUAAUGUAAAGUCUGUAGAAACUUAUCACUGCCUUGAAGCUUCAAAAUGUACUUUACUGGUACUGGGGAGCAAAUCAGUGUUCUAUCAGAACCUUGUUUAUUAAAAAUGCUGCUUAGAAUCUACUAUUUAUGUGCAAGGCCUCCCCCCUUCCCCCUUCUUGGCACUAAUAUUUUGCCAGGUUUUCCUUAUGACCUAAAAUCUUCCUUUUAAGAAAAAGGGACUUCUUUGAAUUGCUUACUCAUUCAUAAUGGCUAAAAUUUCUAUCUGCCUCCACAAUUUCCAUAUUCUAUGUCUUGCCUUCCAGAGGCUUCCUUCAUCAUACAGAUUACAGAAAAUUUGCUAUUAACAGGAGAAAAGUGGGAAGUGACUUAAAAUGAGGGAGGAAAAGCUCCGGUAAUUUGGAGUAUUAAUGCCACUCGUAAAUUGGCAAUGAUCAGUUAUCUGUAGAACUUGACAGAAACUUUGCCUUUCCAAUCACCCUUGUGACUGUAUCAAUAACCAAUUUCCUCCAUAGCAUUUCUUUUCCCAAUUAUCUUCCCAUACAAUUCAUCCUUAAGAUGGCAAUUCUAGAUUUAAAAUAAACUUAAUCUUCUAUUACUAACAAUUAUUUCUAGGCUCUGUCAUUCUUUCCUAACUUCUUCUGAUACCACUUUGAGACAAACUAGCACUCUGGAAUCUGCUGCAAAUUCUCAAAUUAGCAGAUGUUACUUUCAAACCUCUUAACCAGGUAAAAUGCUCCUAUUUUAUACUUUCCUACUUCAACUAAAUUUGGGGAAUAGCUUUGUCCUUUUUAGGUUCCCUACUUAAAGGGACUGCUCAGGGGAAAUAAAAUGGUCUGUUUUAUGUCUGUUACAGAAAUAUUUCUAAAGUCGAUGAAAAUGAUGAGAAACAAUACUUAUCCGGAUUCAGUAUCUUGGGGCUCCUUCGGAUUUUCUCAUAGAUGUCUUCAGGAAUCCUUCAGAUUCUAGGCUGCAGGGAAAUCUGGUCCAGGCUUGCCAAAAAGGCUCCUAAGAAACAUCUUGAGGUCAUUUUACAGAUGAUGAAACUGAGGCAGUGUAUUGUGACUUGCCCAAGAUUGCAUCCCUAGGGAGUGUCUGAAGACAGAUUUAAACUCAGGAAGAUGUUUUGCUGAUUUCAGGUCCAGUAUUCUAUUCAUAGCACCAUCUAGCUGCCCAGGAAUAUCUAGUAUACCUCUUUAUCAAGAUAAGCAAUAAAUACAAAUAAGAAAAAUAAUACAGAUUAGAGAAGGCAAAAGAUACCCUGUGUUUGUGGCAUAGUGGAUAGCAGAUUUAUUUUCAAUUAUUUGAUUCAAAGAUUUCCCCCCAGUUAUUUUUCUAUAAAGUCUGUCCAAUACUUAAUUCAGUAGAGGAGGCCACACAGAUCUCCUUUUCUUGACCUGAAAGUAUCUUAUACAAAUUAUUAUAUGCGAAAACUUACACAUGUAAUUAUAUGUCUGUGUAUGUAUGUAUGUACAUCUGUGUUUAAUAAAGAGAUUUAAAUUA